UACCACUGUGGGGAGGAUGAGGAGACCGUCGUGUAGGUGUCGUCGUGCUGAGGCGUGGGGGAAUAUCGGUGGUUCGCUCACGCGCGAGGGAUCACAUUCGUUGUGCUUCCAAGUCACGGGAGAUCGGGGUCGCAAGAGCCUUUCGUGGAGUGGAGGGGCAUCGAAUUGCUGGUUCGGCGGUUGUCGUCUUGGAUGUAGAUGCGUGGGAGCCC
rnacentral:lncRNA from 7 species